rnacentral:rRNA from 1 species
CCUACGGGGGGCUGCAGUAGGGAAUAUUGGACAAUGGGCGCAAGCCUGAUCCAGCCAUCCCGCGUGAAGGAUUAAGGCCCUCUGGGUUGUAAACUUCUUUUCUUUGGGAAUAAAAACUCCGAUUCAUCGGAGCUUGAAGGUACCAGAGGAAUAAGCACCGGCUAACUCCGUGCCAGCAGCCGCGGUAAUACGGAGGGUGCAAGCGUUAUCCGGAUUCACGGGGGUGAAAGGGUGCGUAGGUGGCAUUGGUGAAAGCCCGGAGCUCAACUCCGGAACUGCCAUUGAUACUGCUUAGCUUGAAUCAGGUCGAGGUGGAUGGAAUAUUGAAUGUAGCGGUGAAAUGCUUAGAUAUGUAAGAGAACACCGAUUGCGAAGGCAGUUCACUAGGCCUGUAUUGACACUGAGGCACGAAAGCGUGGGGAUCAAACAGGAUUAGAUACCCCGGUAGUC